CCUACGGGCGGCUGCAGUGGGGAAUUUUGGACAAUGGGCGCAAGCCUGAUCCAGCCAUUCCGCGUGCAGGACGAAGGCCUUCGGGUUGUAAACUGCUUUUGUACGGAACGAAAGGGCUCUCUCUAAUACAGGGGGCAUAUGACGGUACCGUAAGAAUAAGCACCGGCUAACUACGUGCCAGCAGCCGCGGUAAUACGUAGGGUGCAAGCGUUGAUCGGAGUUACCGGGCGUAAAGCUGGAGGACACGGGUGAAAUCCCCGGGCUCAACCUGGGAACGGCCUUUGUGACUGCAAAGCUGGAGUGCGGCAGAGGGGGAUGGAAUUCCGCGUGUAGCAGUGAAAUGCGUAGAUAUGCGGAGGAACACCGAUGGCGAAGGCAAUCCCCUGGGCCUGCACUGACGCUCAUGCACGAAAGCGUGGGGAGCAAACAGGAUUAGAUACCCUAGUAGUC
rnacentral:rRNA from 1 species